CACCGCCCGUCACAUCACGAAAGUGGGUUAUACUAGAAGUCUGCGGCCUGACCCGCAAGGGGAGGAGCGGCCCAAGGUAUGACUCAUGAUUGGGGUG
rnacentral:rRNA from 1 species